UGGCUUAGUGGUAGAGUAUAUGCUUAACAUGCAUAUGGCCCUAGGUUCAAUCCCCAG
rnacentral:tRNA from 1 species